CGUCAGCGCUUUCCUCUUGCAUUGUCUAUUUCUUCCGUAAAUGAUUAAACGUCGUGGGCUUGAAAAUGUUUUGGGCUUAUUGAAUUUAAAAUCAACAUUUGUUUUUUUGUUGGGUUUCUUCGUUGUCGUAGCAAGCGGUAACUCCCGUCGUAUUGUCUUCCAUCAGUUCCUUCCACAGAGUGAAUCAGUGUUGAUGGCAUUCAAUUAAUUCACCCACUUUCUCCUCAUCAAUACAGGUUUUCUCCUCCCAUCAAUCGAAUUGGAUACAUAUAUAUAUAUAGUCUCUAGGGUCUCAGGAGGAAUCUCAAACGUCUUACGAAUUAUAUUCUUGCGACAACCCUACAAGUUGAAGUUCUUAGAAUGGUGAUUACUCAGCUCCACUUGAUUUGAAGGCUGGUCAUCUCGAGGACAGAGUUGUCACAAGUCUCUUUCGUUUUUGGGAGGCUAGGACGUUAAGAAAUCUGGGGAGCUUAUGAGUGUGGAUUUCAUGUUCCUCAAUGAGAAGUGCCGUCGACCUUCCAAGAUUACGGGGAAGAAAGUCACAAUUGGUCUUAUCUUUGCAACCCCUCUGAACGAGCACUACUCUUUCCGGUGACGGCGUUAAAACCUAGGUUAGAUCUUGAGCUUGACGAGAUUCAUUUCUUGGACGCAAUUCCUAUAAUUUUGAGUUUGGUGAUUGUAAUUAUAAACAACUCCAGUUAUGGGAAAAAUUGUGAAAGUGCAUUGAUUUAGUAAUGUUUUGUGCUGUUUAUAUGCCUCGCCUACACGGACAGUAAAGCACGUGAUUAAUACACACCUUCUGGUGGCAAUCUCCAUCUUUUAGAUUUCUCUUUUGUAGGCUGCAUUAACUCUGCAAACUCAUACUUGGUGUGAGGCGGGAAGCUCGCAAGGUGUGAAGCGUGAAAGUGAAACUCAAACUGAUGCCUGACUCAGAGAACCGGCUUAACAAUCUUAUGCUUUUCGAAAAGGUUUGGAGGAAAAUCCAUGGUUACAGGAGAAAUAUACCACUGCGACGACAUUUAAAACAAUUGGAGAGAAGAUUACUGGUUAGUAGUUCUGGUCACUGGUGAGGUAACAAUGGUGUAGAAACUCUCGAGAGUUCUUUUGUGGGUUCAAAAAGAAAACAUGGCAAUGGUGGUGAAACACAUCUCGAUGAGCUUAGCAAUGGAGACACGGGAAAACAGCUAUGGUUUCAAGAGGAGAGUUGACGUUUCAAGAUAUUUACGGUGCAGAGGCAUUGCUGAAUGAAGAAGAUGAGGGCAGCUAUAGUUCUGAUUGGGAACCUGUGCAGCAGAAGAUGCCAUUUGAGUUUGUGAAAUGGUGUUGCUUCAGUUGCACUAUGGAAAAUCCUGGUGAUAUGGUUCAUUGUUAUGUAUAUUUUGCUUACUUUUUCAUGUUUGAAUACUUUUGUUUCUGAUCUUAUACCAGUGUCUGCAAUUAUUUGUCUGAGGCAUGGAUAUAUUGCAUCUCUGUUAUUUAAAAGACACUGGUCUCUCACCGAAGUUGAAGAGAAAUGCGGAGGAAAUUCAUCUGCAACUAGCUCGACAGCUGUUGGUUUCGAGGAGAUAAUGUUGUUGCAUUCAAAAGUAUGAUUUUGUUACUGUUAUAGUUUCGUGAGAUAUCUGUUGAUGUCAAUACAAUUUAUUUAUCUCCAAUGCUUUUUUCGUGCAAUUAUUUCGCAAGAGCUCCAGAUGGUGAGCUGCUACUUAAUUGUCUUAGAGACAUAUCUAACUGCGAAUAGUUUGUUUAUUUCCUUACUUUUACAAACAAGUCAUUAACUUUUUU